UCCGCGUUUAUCUCGGAUUUCAUCAAUUUUUUGUUACUCUUUCGUUUGAAUCCACGAUAGCCAUAACCAGUCUUUUUGAUGGGUUCGAAAGUGCAUGAGAGACACAUUGAAUCUUGAUUGUUUCUUUCUUUUUUCGGGUUACGGAAAAAC
ensembl:ncRNA T01B7.12 ncRNA